UCCACAUCACCCAAAACCCAUCUUCCACUGAGCCCUCUCCCUCUUGCGAUCUCCUCACCAAAAUCACCGAGUCACAACCGUCGGCUUCCUCUUUUCCCUCACGCAACACCGAUCGAUCUCCCUCUCGCGAGUUCCCCCCACCUAGCCGACCUCUCUUCCUCUCUCGAGCACCACAGCCGUCAGCUCUCCUCAUGCGAGCACCCCAGCCGCCACAACCUCCGACCCCGUCGCCUGUAAUCGCGGGCUGACCAUCGACCGAGAAGGGGAAGCCUGAUUCCUAGCUUCGAUUCCACAUCGCCGAAUGCUGAUGGAUGUAGCCAACGUCGAUGCCCUAAAUCCACUAUCUCUAUUCCCGUAAUCAACCAGAUCAAGGGUGUUGAUAUGGAGAAGGUAGAGAUCAGUUUUUACUGGUUGAUUUUCCCCUUUGGCUCAGAUCUUGGUGGACAGAUUUAGGGAUUUGGGGGUUUCCUUGCUAUUUCUGUUUGGGAUUUUGAUUCGAUACGGGUGAUUUGACGUUGGGUUGUAUUUGACAUGGUCUACAUUUAAGGCGAG